GCGAGCGUGGCGGAAUUGGUAGACGCACUGGAUUUAGGUUCCAGCGCCGUGAGGUGUAAGAGUUCGAGUCUCUUCGCUCGCACCA
rnacentral:tRNA from 2 species